ACAAUAGAAUUUCCUAAGCCUUUGUCUCAUUCUCCAGCUGGUUUGAACAUUAAGCAGCUUGAGAGGCUGGCGUUUUGUUUAAAUCAGUGGAUGUCUCUGUCUAAACAAUCCCAGGUUGCAGCCUUAGUUAUGGAGGUCUGUACCAACAUAUUUCAAAAUGUGCAGGCAAAGAAGG